CUCUGCAUUAAGUCUACGUGCAGAGAAAACUUAAUUGUGUACGGAGAAUACUUAACUAUGUACAGAGGAGACUUAACUGUCUUCUUUUUCUUUUCUUUUUCUCCUUUUUUUUCUUUUAUUUUUUUCUUUCCUUUUUCUUCUUUUUUUUUUCUUUUUCUUUCCUUUUCUUCUUUUUCUUUCCUUUUCUUCCUUUUUCUUCUAUUUUUUCCUUUCCUUUUCUUUUUUAUUCUAUUUUAUCCUUUUCUUUUCUUUUUUUUCUUUUUUUCCUUUUCUUUUCUUUUUUCUUCUUUUUUUUUCUUUUCUUUUUUUCCUUUUUCUUUUCCUUCUUCUAUUUUUUCCUUUUCUUUUCUUUUUU
rnacentral:lncRNA from 1 species